rnacentral:rRNA from 1 species
UACGGGGGGAGCAAGCGUUGUUCGGAUUUACUGGGCGUAAAGGGCGCGUAGGCGGCCACCGCAAGUCGACUGUGAAAUCUCCGGGCUUAACCCGGAAAGGUCAGCCGAUACUGCGGGGCUAGAGUGCAGAAGGGGCAACUGGAAUUCUCGGUGUAGCGGUGAAAUGCGUAGAUAUCGAGAGGAACACCGGUGGCGAAGGCGGCCACCUGGACGGCAACUGACGCUGAGACGCGAAAGCGUGGGGAGCAAACAGG